UACGUAGGGGGAUAGCGUUGUCCGGAAUCACUGGGCGUAAAGGGCGCGUAGGUGGCGCGGAAAGUCAACGGUGAAAGCUUGGGGCUCAACCCCGAGUCGGCCGUCGAUACUUCUGGGCUGGAGCACUGUAGAGGCAGGUGGAAUUCCGGGUGUAGCGGUGGAAUGCGUAGAGAUCGGCAGGAACACCCAGGGGGAAACCAGUCGACUGGGCAUCUACUGACGCUGAGGUGCGAGAGCGUGGGGAGCGAACCGG
rnacentral:rRNA from 1 species